GGCUUUAUAUUCAAUGAUGAUUUUAGAUUGCAAAUCUAAAGGUGUAAGUUUACUAAGGCUU
rnacentral:tRNA from 1 species